ACUAUACGGUUGUUUCUGUCGGACCAAGUUAUUUAUCAUGUGAUGGAUGAGAAUUCGCCGAAGAAGAUCUGGGAGAAGCUGGAAAGUCAGUUUAUGUCCAAGACUGCGAUGACCAAGGUGUAUCUGAAGCAAAAGUUGCAUGGCAUGAGGAUCCAGGAGGGG
rnacentral:rRNA from 1 species